UGGGGAAUAUUGGACAAUGGGCGCAAGCCUGAUCCAGCAAUGCCGCGUGUGUGAAGAAGGCCUUCGGGUUGUAAAGCACUUUUAUCAGGAGCGAAACGCUGUCGGCUAAUACCCGGCGGAACUGACGGUACCUGAGGAAUAAGCACCGGCUAACUUCGUGCCAGCAGCCGCGGUAAUACGAAGGGUGUAAGCGUUAAUCGGAAUUACUGGGCGUAAAGCGUGCGUAGGCGGUUUCUUAAGUCUGCUGUGAAAUCCCCGGGCUCAACCUGGGAAUGGCAGUGGAUACUGGGAGGCUAGAGUGUGUCAGAGGGUGGUGGAAUUCCCGGUGUAGCGGUGAAAUGCGUAGAGAUCGGGAGGAACAUCAGUGGCGAAGGCGGCCACCUGGGACAACACUGACGCUGAGGCACGAAAGCGUGGGGAGCAAACAGGAUUAGAUACCCUGGUAGUCCACGCCCUAAACGAUGCGAACUGGACGUUGGUUGCUCAACUCGGAGAUCAGUGUCGAAGCUAACGCGUUAAGUUCGCCGCCUGGGGAGUACGGUCGCAAGACUGAAACUCAAAGGAAUUGACGGGGUCAUAGCUGUUUCCUG
rnacentral:rRNA from 1 species